rnacentral:tRNA from 2 species
GCCGGUGUAGCUCAGUGGUAGAGCGCUUCCUUGGUAAGGAAGAGGUCCCGAGUUCAAUUCUCGGCAUUGGCUCAA